UAUUUUAGAGUGUAAAUUCACUUAUUUUAGAGUGUAAAUUCACUCAUUUUGCUCCGUAUAUGGUCAUUUGUUAAAAUAUUCAUAAAGGCAAAUAUUUAGGAACGAAGGGAGUAGAUGCUAUAAGUUCCUACAAGUACGACACUUAUACUCGAGCUACAUGCUACUGCAAGUUUGAAGCCUCGGGCGACUACUUCAAGUCGGCCACCUAAGUGCCUACAAGCCUCGGGCUACAACAAUCACCACUCCUUCAAGAAUUCUCCACCCACCACUCCUUCAAGAAUUCUCCACCGGGUCAUCCCUGAAUCCUCUUAGGGCACAAGAUAGUGUUGUAUGGUGACAAUGGCAAGCGAUUUUGCAUUAAUCCCUUGGUAUUGCAAUGUGCGUUUUACUCAAAAUCUGACUUCCCACAAGUCAUUUAUGUGGAAAUGUAGCAUAUUUCGUACUCCCUCCGUUCCAAAUUACUUGUCUUAGAUUUGUCUAGAUACGGAGGUAUCUAGCACUAAAAUGAGUCUAGAUACAUCCGUAUCUAGACAAAUCCAAGACAAGUAAUUCGGAACGGAGGGAGUACAAAGGAAUCUUUACACAACAAUUUGUUCCGAAGUGUAAAACAAGCUACAACAGGUGUGGUAUAUUUUGUACAAAACUCGGGACUUUGGACCACUAGUUGUUCCAGUAUGAACCUAGAGAACACCCAUGGGUUUACAACAUCGGGUUCCCUGAGCAAUUUGACAAGCUGGCAACGUCCCCAAAGAUCA
rnacentral:lncRNA from 1 species